CCCACACUGGACAAUGAAGAAUGUGAGGAGUCCUCCCCCUGAGAAGGAAGAAGAAGGAUGAGUGGUGAGCUGACCACUUCUGUGAGCUUCCAUUCCUUGUCCCCCUGCACUGCUGGGAAAGAGCAGGGACAGAGAAUGUAUAAAAUUUUAUAGACUUGCAGGCCCUCCAGCAACUCCAUGUGAGAAAUUAUCUACUCAUGAAGGAAGAAGGCCAUGUGUGUAGGAAACAAUGAAGACUUAAAAAAUUAGAAGACAUAAUUAAUAGCAGUGGGAGGACAUGAAGCCACACAGGAGAGAGCCUGUCGAUGUGACAGUUCAGGAAAAUUCUUCAACAUUAACUUCUCUGUAAAAAGUUUCAGUGUGAGCCUGCACUGCCAAGAAUCCCUGAGGAUCCAUUUGACCAUGGCACAAGUUCACAAACUCUAUAACCCUGCUGGUGAACCACCUCUGGAUCCUUCAGCUUAUUCAGAAUAUACUAUCAAGAGCAUGACAAUGAAGCCAACGGAUGUACUGAAAAGAUGGCAAGAUGCCUUGAAGAACCUUGUACUUGGAAAUCUUAAUUUUUCAUUCUUUGAAAUCUGAGUAACCACCAAUGAGCCACAUGAAACCAACAGCCUGUUGUGGGAAAUAGGUUGUUCCUGGGAGCCCAAGCUGUAGGAUUGAAGAGGGACCUAGAUUAUACCUCAUAUAAGUCAGUAUUCUAAUCGGGAAAUUAAGGAUAAUGAUUUAUAGCACUAAAACAAAAUAAAAUAUUUGGCUUAUUAAAAAAGAAAC